AGAGUUUGAUCAUGGCUCAGGAUGAACGCUAGCUACAGGCUUAACACAUGCAAGUCGGAGGGGCAGCAUUUUAGUUUGCUUGCAAACUGAAGAUGGCGACCGGCGCGACGGGUGAGUAACACGUAUCCAACCUACCGAUAACUCCGGAAUAGCCUUUCGAAAGAAAGAAUUAAUACCGGAUAGCAUACGAAUAUCGCAUGA
rnacentral:rRNA from 1 species